ACAUUUGGAAGAGGCUGUGUGGCCACCUGGUCCCAGCAGACCCUAGAGAACAACCACAUUUGCUGCUGCUGGAACAAGGUCAUUAAGGGUGAAGCCUGGUGCCAGAUGUG
ensembl:rRNA 5S_rRNA 5S ribosomal RNA